rnacentral:rRNA from 1 species
UGGCGGGAGGGUGAGUAAUGUCUGGGAAACUGCCUGAUGGAGGGGGAUAACUACUGGAAACGGUAGCUAAUACCGCAUAACGUCGCAAGACCAAGAGGGGGACCUUCGGGCCUCUUGCCAUCGGAUGUGCCCAGAUGGGAUUAGCUAGUAGGUGGGGUAACGGCUCACCUAGGCGACGAUCCCUAGCUGGUCUGAGAGGAUGACCAGCCACACUGGAACUGAGACACGGUCCAG